AAUGAACGUUGGCGGCGUGGAUUAGGCAUGCAAGUCGAGCGAGAAGUUUUCCUUCGGGAGAACGGACAGCGGCGAACGGGAGAGUAACGAGUGGAGUACCUACCCUGAGACUCGGGAUAGCCGUGGGAAACCGCGGGUAAUACCGAAUAAUGUCUCCGGACCAAAGGUGUGAUUCCGUCUUAGGAUGGCUCCGCUUCCUAUUAGCUUGUUGGUGAGGUAACGGCUUACCAAGGCAACGAUGGGUACCGGGUGUGAGAGCAUGACCCGGCUCACUGGGACUGAGACACUGCCCAGACACCUACGGGUGGCUGCAGUCGAGAAUCUUCGGCAAUGGACGCAAGUCCGACCGAGCGACGCCGCGUGCGGGAUGAAGGCCUUCGGGUUGUAAACCGCUGUCAGAGGGGAUGAAAUGCUAUGUGGCAAUCCAUGUAGUUUGACAAAUCCUCAGAGGAAGGACGGGCUAAGUUCGUG
rnacentral:rRNA from 1 species